GCGAUGGUGCGCCUCUCCUCGUUCCGUUUUCGAAUAUCGUACCGCGCGCUGCGGUACCGGUAACGAGAUCCGGGGUGGUCCGAUCUUCAGCUGUCUUCGGAACGGGCCGCCGCCACCGCCGCCGCCGCCUCGAUACCGCGAUAGACGAUCCGUUUUACAGGCUAUGUAAUAUUAAAGAAAACCAAUGAAUUUUAAAAUUCAUGUUUUUCUCUAUGAAUAUUCCAAGAAACAUCAUGUACCGAUCGCAAAUCUUUAAUAUUUAUGUGAAGGGAAAGGUUCUUGACUAUGAUGAAUAAAGGCAUAAAUGACUCGUCAUAGAUAUCGUAAAGUCAUCAGCAAACUUUUUAAACUCUCUAAAGCUACAAGAGGAGGAAGAAGAAGAAACAAAGCAAAUUUCAAUGGAGGACCGCUUAUACACAGGUCACAGAAUAACCCAACAGAACUGCUUGUAUGGAGGAUCUCCCACUUCCAAAACCGAACUGGUGAUCGGAUAGUAGUUUUCAAGACAUAAUAAACGUCGUUGCAAAUAUACAUACGCAAAGAACUUCGAGAAAACCAUGGUGACUGUAUUAUUAAUGUUUGUUUUACUACCUUUUUUAUGUAACGGAAUAAUCUUUGCAAAAGGAUAAAUGUGUUAUAUGGGUAAAUGGGUAAAUAAUGAACAUUGAGACGCGCUUGAAAAAAAAAUUGGAAUAUCAUCACAUCCAGCAGACCGUUUAUUUUGAAGCUUUUUAAUAAGUAAACGGCC